UCGAGGAUCUUCGGCAAUGGGCGCAAGCCUGACCGAGCGACGCCGCGUGUGCGAUGAAGGCCUUCGGGUUGUAAAGCACUGUCGAGGGGGAGGAAAGCCCGUAAGGGUUUGACCUAUCCCUGGAGGAAGCACGGGCUAAGUUCGUGCCAGCAGCCGCGGUAAGACGAACCGUGCAAACGUUGUUCGGAAUCACUGGGCUUAAAGGGCGCGUAGGUGGGUGGGCAAGUCUGUGGUGAAAUCCCCCGGCUUAACCGGGGAACUGCCGUGGAUACUGCCAACCUCGAGGAGGGUAGGGGCGUCUGGAACUAGCGGUGGAGCGGUGAAAUGCGUUGAUAUCGCUAGGAACUCCGGUGGCGAAGGCGAGACGCUGGACCCUUUCUGACACUGAGGCGCGAAAGCCAGGGGAGCGAACGGGAUUAGAUACCCCCGUAGUCC
rnacentral:rRNA from 1 species